rnacentral:antisense_RNA from 1 species
GGAAACCCAAACCAAGGAGAACUCAGGAGAAUUGGCGCUCUUCGGUCCUGGAGGUUCCGCAGCUAACAUCCCGGCUUGACCAACUAUCGAGGCCGCAAAUUAAUAGGGCACCUCCUGGGAGGAAAACGCCCAUCCUGACUUCUCAACUAUGACAGUUUUUCUCUGUCGCCCAGGAUGGAGUGCAGUGCAGUGGCGCGAUCCUCCAACCUCCGCCUCUCGAGUUCAAGCGAUUCUCCUGCCUCAGCCUCCCGAGUAGCUGGGACGCGCGCCACCCCACCCAGAUGAUCUUUUUAAAUGCAAAAUGCCAUCGAUGCGGAAAAUCAAAGAAUCAGCUUAAGUUCCAGAAAAAAGAAAAACCAACCAAAUGAACAAUAAGACAACAACAACAACAACAACAACAAAAAAGGCCUUUUGGGAUUUUGGAUGAUAUUGCAUCAAAUCCAUACAUUAACCUGAGAGACAAGAGACUCCUUCAACACUGAGCCUUCCAAUCAUGAUUUUCAAUUCAUUUAGGUCUUCUGUAAUGUUUCAUAAUAUAAUUGUAUUUGUUGCUAUGCAGAAGUUUCACUGAUCUUUUAUUAUCUCUCUAUAUAUUUGAUAUUUGACACUAUUGUAAAUAGUAUCUUUUUAAUAUUUCAUUUUCCUUUUUUGUUGCUUAAAUAUAUAUAAAGUAAGCUAAUUUUUCCAAACUAAUUUUUAUAUACAGGAACCCUGCUAAAAUUUCUUAUCCAAUAAAAAUAUAAAUGUG